ensembl:lncRNA
AGAGCCCCUGCUGUCUGAGGGCAGCGGAGGCACUACCGGGCUCCUCCUCUUUGGACUGCUCUUCCUGGGGGAGUGCUGCGCUUCAUGAAGUCACGACAGCAAGCUCUGGGGGUGCCAGCAAGCCUGCAGCCCUCUCAGAAUUAUGCUUGCAUUGCUGAGAAGAUGGGUCACAUUUCUGGGAAUCCACCCUGACCUCCUCUGGUGAUGCUUUGGCUCUCUGAGGAUAGAGACAGGGAACAAAUAGAUGCUUCUUACCCAGCUGCUGGUUCCACUUGAGGAACUUCACAGCUCUGGGUGAUUAACAAGCUCCUGGAUGCUUGCAUGUGGGGCCUUCCCUUCUGGACAGACCUCCAGGAGAUGUGGUCAGGACAAGGCGAUGGUGUGGGCAGCACCUGCUGGGGGCACUGGAGCAGGAAGGAGAAGCAGAGAAAGAACUCCGGAUCUUCCCUCAUUCCUAACAGCAGGACACAUCUCCAGCACAAGUCCUCGUUGUGCUCCUUGACUUGGGGGCAAAUGGCUUACAGGAAGAAAAAAAUACAGACAGACAUCUUUAGCCCUUCACAAGAAGAUAACUGCUGGCUGGCCUGGUGGGAAGCGACGUGCCAAGGAGAAGUAAAGCAAGAUGAAAGCUCUGCCAGCAUGUCACCGCGAGUGCUUUUGUAGAAACAGCACGAGUACGAUGAGCAAACCUUUGACUGCCUAUUGGAAACAGAUUUUUCUCGACACAGAAGCAAUCCCUUUGGAAUGAGAGCCCUGACCAAAGCUGGGCGUCAGAGAAGGGCUUACAGCGAGUUGUGGGGAGGAAGGAAACCCGCCAGUGGGACAGACAGCAUUGCCUUUUGUUUUAGUUUGUAGCACUGAUUGUUGAAUGCUUUUUGAUUUCACAAGAAUCUCUGGAUUUUGUCAACUUCCUUCAGAGAUUUUGCUGGGAAAAAAAUGGUAACUGUGCUUAAUGCUCUCCCUUCUCAACAAAACCACUCAACAUUUUCAUUCAAAUCAAAAUUUUCCAUGGACAGCACUGCGUGUUCCUCAACCAGCAGCAUAAACACGUUGGGUACUGCAUUACUCUCUAGAUAUUUGUAUUCCAGAGGCAAGAACUCAGGUCAGAGUCAUUUUCUGCUGGACCUCACGUAGCAAGAGACAACCUUACUCUGAGGACUUUGUAAUCAGAGUGGAAAAGACAGAGGACAAGAGAAAGGAAGAAGAAAAAAAAUACUAUAAAUAUGCUUUAACAGAUGGGGCACUGAGGUGGCAGAAGAUGAAGUGAUUCGUUUGACGUCAUAAUAAUAGGAAAGCUAAGCCAAAAUGAAGAACUAAAUCCAUCCCUCUUGGAAGGCUCAGCACAUAUCUUUGACCACAGCCCAUCCUUUCCCUCUAGUGCUGUUGAGUUCUUUGCAGUUCGCGAGGGGAUGGCACUUGGCACAGUGCUACUUGCUGAGGAUGUGUCACCUAACAGGGACAUUUCUUGGGUGAUUCAUCAAAUAUGCCUGAUUGACCACUUAUUCACAUCAGCUCCUCCUGGGGAAGCCCAGCACCUGGGUGAAGCUCUGCUUUAUAAUGGGUGUUGGCACUGUGGAUAUUGGGGAUAAUAGGCUUUGUCACCAUCUUGGUGAUAAUGACAAUCAUGAUAACAAUUGUAGAAACAAUAAAAACUGAGGUAGAUCCAGGUAGCUUCAUCCAGCUCUCUGGCUUGCUACAGCCACAAUGGUUGGGGUGAGCAAGGGUGAGCAGAGCACCCAUGGCAGUGUUCCCUCUGUGGGGAUGGCAGGAGAAUGAGGGGUUUAUCCAUCAUCUGGGAAACAGAAAACAUGCUUGGGCUUGGUUUCAUCCCACCUGGCACGCUGGUGGAUCCCUGGCAGGGAUCCUCUGACCAUAAUGGAAAGCAUGCAUAACACAUGACCGAAAUCUGGAGAUUUACACCCAUUUUGUUUCCUGUGAGAGCACAAACCAGAAGAUAGCCAAGGGAGUCAACCCCAUUCUUUGUCCCUCUCCCGUGAUUCUUACAGCUGAUGGACAACGUUCACAGCCCAAACGCAUGGUUUGGUGAUGGAGACACACCACCAGCCCCAGGACCACGAUGCUUUCCCACUUCAGUGCUUGGGGGAGCACAGUGUUGCUGAGCCCUGUGCGGGCUGGCGUGCAGAGCGGUGGGGAUUAGGGCUGGAACUCACAGCACUUGGGCCAUUGUGCAAUGCCGGGCAGCUGGAGGGUUUCACUUUUCAGAGGGGAAAAGAAAAUAUGAAAAACUAGAACCAGAAAACUCCUUUUUUCUCUCCUUUUUUUUUUUUUUUUUUUUUUUUUGGACCUAUCCAGAGCUUUCCACAAUGCUAGUGAUUUAAACCAGACCUGGAGUAUGAAUGCAACUCUAAUAUUUCUACCUUACUGAGUUACAGGGAUGAGUCAAAGGGCUGGCUGAGGCUGAAGGCAGCGAUGUAUGUAUAUACAGCUACAGCUGAAAUCUCCCCUUGCAUAGACACCUUGUCAGCUAGGGCUGGAUCCAGAAGGUUAAUAAUGUUCUGUCCUUUUGGCUAAUUCUGCAAGCAUGGGAAAGAGAAUAUGAAUUUAAUUUAAAAUCUAGACAUUCCUUCCAGCAGUGGGAUGGAGAAGACAAAGCUAAUUUCACCAGCGGGUGGGGGGAGGCACAUCCCUAGCUCUUCAUCUGGCCUGGGAUCUCUAAAUCUGGCCUGGGAACUCACUUCUAGGGGUGUUUGAGCCAAAGAUAUGGGGAAGUGGUACCAUUCUGGGGGAAAGAAUGAGGCUGCACCCCAGUAUGGGGUGGGGAAGAGGAGCAGGUGACUGAGAUGCGGGUCAAGCAUCUCAAGGAUGAGCACCCUGUACUGUCUGGGUGCAGGUGCAGCGGUGGGGAGUGCCCCCAGUGUCUCACCUGAAGGACCAAGGGAGGGACGUGAGCUCAGGGUUGGACUUGUGCAAGGAGUAGAGGAGUUCUGCAGACAAACGUCUGCCCAGUGCUGGGAGCAGUCAUGGGGCACUCCUCAGCCCAGUCAGAAUCCUUUAACAUGGCCUCUGCUCUUCUUUCAACCCUCAUCCCCAUCUUCUGCCUUCUCAUCCCCCUGCCAAAUAAAUCUCCUCAGAGUUAAAAUAAAUGCUGUAGUGUCCUAAAAGUCUUGCUGCCCCGGAGAUGAAAAAAAAAAAAAAAAAAAAGAAAGGAAUUAAACUGAAAGAGAAAUAGUAGAUGUGCAUCUUCCUCCCUUUGGUCUCUCUGAAGGCUAUUAAGUGAUGCAGGGUGACUGUGGACAGGUACAUGCAAAUAAUAGGAUCAAGGCAGCAGUACAAAGGUUUGUCUCCCAAUCUUAAUGCAGGUGUGGGAGACACAAACCAGGUGGCUAAAAGGCUCUUUUGUUUGAAGCUGUCAGGAGAAGAAGCUGAUAAUCUCAUGCCUCAUCCCUAAACUCUCUUUCAGCCGUGUCAAGGCAUCUCCUCACAUCAGGAAGUCUGCAAUGACAUGGCUAUGUGCUAAGCUCAGUUAAUGUGGUCCGAGGUUUAAACACUUCAGGUUGAAAGUGGAUAAUUGGUGGUAGUGGAUUUUAAAAGCUCACACAGGUGCCUUUGAAAAGAGGUCAGGAGUCAAGUGCAUCUCUCCUAUGAGAAAUGGUGAGCCUUUCCUAAGGAGAUCAAAAUUCUUCCACGGAGAGCCCCAGGGCCUUGUAAGAACUGUUAUUAAUUUAGUUCUGUAUGUUCCAAAUAAUGGAAAAACGAUACCACAUGUGUACACGCCUAAAAUAGGGGCACGGCCGCCCCGACGGAUAGGAUUUCACCUGGCUCUCGUGGGCUGUUAAUUAACUAAUCAGCUCUCAGGAGCAGCACAGCAGCCGAUCUCCCAGCUGGGACAUCCAAGGAUGCUGUGCCCUCGGCUCAGAUGGGCCCCAUGGGGACGAGGGGGCUACCAGCACGCAUCCACCUCGGGAUCUGAGGGCUGCGGUGCCUCUGGUAUGGACUCUCAAAGUAACACAGGGAUGUGGACUCCCGGGGUUCAUCAUUGUUGCCAUGGGUUGCUGCAGCCCUCUCUUGUGCUGGUCAUGAUGCAUCAUCCACAGCCCACAGGCUGAGACCACCCUGCCCCUCUCAGAGCCUUUUCUUAGCAAAGAGGGCUCUGCACUUAACUCACGUGCACCUUUAAAAGAUGACUGCUCUCCCUCUUCACUCCAUUAUUAUCUGGAAUCGUGCUUAAUUAAGGGAAGUUAGAGGAAAUUAACAUCCAGUAAUUUUCUUACGGUGGAUGUUUUUUUGUGUGUGUGUGUCAGUUGCAAGACAUAAGCUUGCCUAAACACGCAGCACAUGAAAGCAGCUCCUGCCUGUGGCAUAUCAGGUUGCAAAGGCUCUGCGAUUGCACCGAGCUCUGCCCGGCCGAGCCCUGCACCUGCCCAGAGCUGAAGGAGCAGAGCAGGGCUCGGCACGGGGCGAAGACAGCUGUGCGGAUCGGGGCCAGGAGGAGCUGGUUUUGUCCCAUGCUCAGCAUGUGUUUGGGUUCGCAAUCUGAGCACCCGGGGUGACAUGUGCCAGUAAAGCUGGAAAUAGCAUCGUUAUUACUCAUAUUUGCAUUGGAAGGAAGGGAUGGCUAUUGCUAGCUCCUAACCCCGCAAGCACACACGUCUCUGGGUCUACCUAUGCAAACAGCCCCUUUGCUUGGAAGAUCACAUAAUUUGGCGGUUUGGAGCGAGCCGCCCAAAUAAGCACAGAGAAGGGCGUCACAUGAGAGCUGGCUUAUUCCAAUUACGAGAGAGCGCAAGGAAUCUGCUCCUUGAAAAUGUUCAGAUGCAAUUGUUGAUGCCUUCUGAAUGGGAUGAUACGGUGCUGUUGGCAAUGACACACCUACCCAUCCUGCUGGCGGGAUGCACUGCGAGCAGGUGGCCCUUUUGCCAGCAAAAUCCCUGUUCCCAUCUGUCCCCCUGAAGUCUUUGGCUCCUUUUGUGGCUGGGGCCGAUCUGGGAAAGACUCCCACUGGUGAAAAGAUGUUACAGAUUUGUUAUUAUUUGCUGUACGCUUAUUCAUCUUACAGUAGCACGUCAGAGAUCAGCAUGGGGCUCUGAGCAGAAACAGAACCCCCAAUAUGGUCCCUGCUCCAGAAACCAUGAGCUCCAGCUCCCUCUCCUCUGCACCAGUGCUCAGGGCUUACCCAUCCCAUUGCAGUUCUAUACAGCGUAGUGUGAAACUAGAAAUUGCUGGGACACAAAACCAAAGCCUCCCGCUCUGCAGCGCAUGGGAAUUACUGAAAUGCUUCAUUUUGUUUCAGUUUCUUAGAUGAGAAACGAUCAAACUGAUGCUUUCUUGCAGAAAAGGUUCACUUUUGACAAAGUGAUCUUUCCCAAAGGGACAAAUAACUCAUUCAGAGACGUUUCUCCAGCUCCGGCUGUAAGGAACUUAAGAACAGCACUUCUCCUUUUUUAUUAAUAUUGUUUGUUGGUGAAAUGGCUUAAUGGCUGUGGGGUCAGUUGACAGAUAGGAGGUAACAUUGUUCUCCUCCUCCAGCGAAUGUAGUGUUUGGCAUGACUUCAAAAUAACCCUAUUGUUUGUCAUCUUCUCAGAAUACACUAUAAAACCCCUGUUAAAAGGAAAGAUAACGUUUUCUAAGCAUAAGUCAAGUGCCGGGUUGCCUUUUUUAAAGCUGCCUGAUGAGAAUUAAUGGUGUUGGAUCUCCUGUUUUAAACACAUUUGGCCAGGUUUUCUGGAGGCACCUAAUUUAUCUUGAGGCUCUUUCAUCUAUUAUCUAGCCGUGAGCUUGUUCGUAGCUCAUCAGCCAUCCUCGUUUUGACAGGGAGCCUUGUGAUGAGCAGCCAACAGCGCGCGGCGGCGGGGCCGAGCCUAUCUCUGGCCCGGAGGUGAUGGGAAAGGGCUAACCUCCUGCCACUCCUCCCAGCACUCCCCGAAAGCAGAAACAGAGCCCGAGACCGUCACGCCGAGCCCUUCGACGUGUUGCAGUGGACCUCUGACGGAUCCCACCUAUAGAGCAAUUGUCACCUCUUUCCCCGGGUGGGAGCUGGGGGGAGUUUUGGGGAACCUCCUAUUGUCGAGGCGAUGUUCAACGACGGAGAAUUGCUUGGGUCAAAGCACAUGUGGUCUCCAUGAAGCCAUCAAUAAAGAGGGGAGAGUGGCAGUAGCUCUGGAAUAAAAAUAACGUUAUCUAACGAGGGGAGGGAAAUAAAGAUCUUAUGCAAAAGCUCUUGAAACAAACCGGUAAUUUUUCCAUGGUUUGGACACCCAGACGAGAACGAUCCGGUACGUGACUCAGCACCGCCGCAGAUGUGCAAGUUUUGGGCAUCAGCUCCAAAGCCCCGCCGGAACCAGGCGGAGGAGUUCUGCAAAAUAAAGACGUCGCCUUCUUUUUUCUGCUUUCAGCACGGAUGGACGCGAGCGCUUGGAGCAGCAGCGACAAAGCUGCUGGGAAGUUUGUCACCAUAACACUGGCUGUUUAUGCUUUGUGUGGAUGAAAGAACAGCUUUCUUCAAUUAGGCUUUGUACUUCAGCUGGCAGGCGGGUGCCGGCUGUCUGAAACCCCAGCUCUCGCGCUGCUCGUCCCAGGAGCCAAUGGAUGCCACGCACGUCAACGGCUGCAGCAUGCCGCCCAGCCAAGCCCUCCUGCUUGUGCUGGGACAAAACGGGAGAAAAUGGGAGGCAUCCAACCAGCAACAGCAAUCAUGUGAAUUCUAUUGUAUCCUAUGACUCUCUUUGGAUCAGGCCUCGUGCAGCUUUCUUAAUGCUUUCCCUCUUUAUUCCCUGCUCCACGCAGGUGCAGGGAGCUGACAUACCAGCAGGAAGCCUGCUGGAUCCUAAGGAGCAGCUCAAGCUCGUUUUGAAGCCAAUGGUCUUGUGGGGAGAGCAGGCUCUUUCCAUUGACUUCAGCAAGUUUUGAAUAAGUUGCCUGGAUACCUAGCGUUGUAACAGCAUGAGUGAUUGGUCGAUAAAUAUUUGUUUAAUAAGAAACAGCGCAUGGGAAAGGAACUGCCUCGAUACUGAUGUGGAUUUAUAAGAUGCUGAUUGCACUUUGUCAUGCAGCUCUGCAGAUUGAGAGAGCUGGAGUUUCAUGGUUUACCGGAAGAUGAUAGCAAAGCUGCGGCAAAAAAUCAAAACACAACACCCAUGGCAGACCUUCACAGGGAAAACUAUUGUAUAAAUUGGGGCCUAAAGGAAUUUGUGAUAUUGCCUUGGAAUUCUUUUAGAGUGAAAUGUGUUUCCUGGGUCAUACUGUGGUAGAAAAAAAAUAAGCAGGGUCUCUGGGGUGCAUGAACGACAGCAUUUAAUAAUUAAAACCAAACGUCUUUAUACCCAAGCGGGUAUUUUCAUCAACAGAACUGUACCAACUGAGCUCUGUUAUUUCUUAUCUCUCCUUCUGUGCUCGUGUCAUUCACCACAACCAUUCCACAGAAGGAGGGACUCAGGGGUUGUAGUCUUCUCCAGUUGGGAACUUUGGAGGCAUGGUUUGACCCUGGGCUGGUGACCCUAUGCUGAAGCCAGGGCUGCACAUGCUUGGUAUCUCAUGCUGAAAAUGGACUCAACCAUACAGGAUGGAUGAAUACCCCCAGGAAAUAUUUUUCCCUGCACAUCUCCCAUGCUGGCUCCUUUGAUUGCAUAUUAGGAAAAAUUUAUUCUCCAAAAGAAUGUGCUGCAGUGGCACAGCUGCCCAGGAGUGGUGGGGUCACCAUCCCUGGAGGUGUCCCAGAGCCGUGGAGAUGUGGCACUGAGGGAUGUGGGCAGUGGGCAUGGUGGGGUGGGCUGGGGUUGGGCUUGGGGAUCUUGGAAGUCUUUUUCAGCCUGAAUGACUCUGUGAUUCUCAUCAGGACUCUUCCAGGAUCAGAGUAGGCCUAAGAAGCUUGGGGCAGAUGAGUAGUGAGUGAGCAGCAACACUUCUUGGUGGCACUUCAUAAAUGUUUUCCGUGGGACUAAACACAACUACCAGUGCUGUGAGACCCAGCAGAGAGAGAACUGGUCUUCACACUCUCCAUUCAGUCUCUCUGAAUUAUGUAUUUUUUUCCUUCACACUCUUAAUAAUAACCAAAGGAGAAACAAUGGCCCAUGCACGGGCACAUGCGGACCUCCAGAUCCAAGGUCCAAAUGCAACCAGGAGCUGCUUCAACCUACAGCCUGGCAGACUCAGGUGCGUUGUGAGAUUAAACACAUGAAAGACUCAAGGCACCAAAUGCCGCCGUGAUGAGACCCAUCUGACAGAAAGAUCAAUUUGUGCUGGAAAAUGCCUGAGAUUUUUCUACCCAACAGCAGGAUAAUUUAUCUCCCCCUCAAAAGACUUGGAGUAUAUUUUUAGGAAAUGCAAACAUGUUGAUUUUCGCUACCCAUUUCUCUCCAUUCCUCAAAUAAACUCUGCUUUCCUGCACACGGCAGCUUUGAAAAUUGAAGAAGAAUCUCAUUACCUCCCCCAAAGCCUUAAUUGUCCCAUUUAUUCCAAGGCACUCCGGAAGCCCAUCUUUCAGUGGCUUGCUCGCCCUGCUAACAACUCACCAUAAUCCUUUCCAUAAUCCCCAAGAAUGCUGAUCACUCGGGUGGCGUUGGACCUUCCUUGCUGAUGAAUUGCAGGGUAUUUCAUAUCCCCUCAUCAAAAACAGCUCUUCUUCUGCCUUCACUCUUUCAGCAAGGAAAGUCACUUUUAUCUCACGCAUCAGGCUAUCCCCCGCCAUCAGCGGCCUUUUUCUCUUAGGUACACAAAAGCAAAUGUUCUGGAAGCUCUUUAAAAUACCUGAGCAACUGGUAGUAAAUGAGUAAUUUCCUGUUGUUCUAACCUUUUUUUUUUCUUGGCUGCUGAGAAGUCAUCUCAGCUCGGGAUGUUGAGGCGGUUGCACGAUCCUGUGUUUGUGCGGAUAAACAUUAUCUCCUCUCAUUCCUGGGCUGAUCAAGCUGAUUUUAUAAACAGCCUUUCAUAGUGGAAAGGGCUUUUUUUUUACUCUUUGCAAACCUUCCGGGCUGGAGUUUGGCGGACGUUGGCAUGCAGUAAAACUACUGUAUGUGUGUUUGCAUUGCGGUAACUGCAAAUCUGUCCAUUUCAAUCUUUGUUGAGUUAACACACUGGGCAAACUAGGUGGUUUUGCAAUGACCUCAUCCCAGGAUCUCAGCAGAAAACAGCCCGCGUACAUAGCUGAGCCUGGAAUGCGAGCGAGACCUCAUUCAUAAACUUCCUUACCAUUCCUUUACACUCAAAGGCAGGAAUAAAAAUCAGCCAAAACAAGCAGAAAUGGUGUUCCGGAGUUAACCGAGUGGGAAAAUAUAUAGAUGUGCUUUUUUUGUUUUAUUGUAUUAUUGAAUCAGGAUGCUUCUAACCAUCUGUAGGAGACUUUCUGUGGUAUCAUAUUCACGCUCUCCCUUGAAUUAUGCUAUAAAGCUUAUCAUUAAGCCACCUUCUUUUCCUUUUUUGAAAGUGUUUUUUUCUGUGAUAUCACCUCCUUUGUUUGUGAUAACACCGCCACCUGCUUAGUGGCAUUGCAAAUACAGAGCUUGGAAAAAUAUGUUAUAAACAGCGGGUGGUACGAAUAUACUGUAGCUCAGAGAAGAGGUC